UUGAUUGAUAAAAUAAUAUUAGAGCACACAACUGGGCCACAUUAAAAGCUGCGGCGGACCGGAUUUGGCCCCUGGGCCUUGAGUUUGACACAUAUUUAAAGACUGUUGCUAUAUGACAGCCUCAUGACCAUCAUCGCAUGCUAACAGUUCAAUAUUCGGGUAGCAGAUGCAAUAUUUCACAGUAACAUGUCCUGGAAAGCAUCAUCGGUUGUUGGCAAGCGCUGCUAAUCCGCCUCUUUUGCUUUUGCUUUAGCUCUAUGUCGAUGUUUCAACUUCCUCCUUUUCUCUCCAUUCAACUCUGUGAUUUGAGUUCACAGUUAAGGUUUUUUCUAGCUUUUGAGAUAAUAAACAGCUGCUCCCAGUUUUACAAAAAAAAUACCUUGUUACCACGGUUAAACAUCAUCCAGCAACCGAUCUGUCUAAAAGGAAAAAUAGAAAAAGGGAAGAACUGCCCAAGCAAUUUGAAGAAAAAUCUAGAAAACAAAUGAAUAAGAGUUGCUAAAGUUUGAAAUACAAAUACUCAAGUAAAAUUACAAUUUCAUAGACUUUUUUUAUUUAAAAAAUUCUAAUUUUUCAGUUGCUCCUGCCUCCUGUUUACCAUGAAUGUCUGUUUUUCUUGGCAAUUUAAAUGCUCUUUUUUCUCUGUCUCUUUAAAACAAAUCGCCUGAGAUUUGUAACGUUUGUGAUUGUGAACGCACAUUUUCUUGGAUUUUACUCGACCUUGUGGGGGAAAAAAGUCUUCAGAACAUCUGGCCGUUCGUUCCCGUGGAGGACGCGCCGUGACAACAGCGACUCGCUGAAUUUCCCUGGUACCUUGACUGGCUCCUCACAUCGGGUUUCCAUGGCAACACAGGUUAAAGAGUUGAUUGAGAACGGGCAGAAGAGAAGCAGAUGAUGUCUGUCUUCAUUGAGUCACUCACCUCAAAUUAGAAAAUGACCUGAUAGGCCCACCAGCAACAAAAUAUCAGAUUGAUUUUUAAUAAUGGACAAAGUAAUAUAAUACCAGAAAACGCAGAAACAGCAAUAUUAGCACCAUGCAACAAAGUAAAAAACCGCUAGAAGAAUUCAGUUUUCCUGUAUCCUGAAGUGGCAUAGAAAGAUCUACGGCGGCCUAUCAGGGUUAUUGUAGUUCUGUGUUUCUAACAUAACGUGUGCAGUUAUUUUUAUUUUAUUCCCUAGUAAAACCAGGAGGCUGAGUGUGGAGGCGUUCCCAGUCCAGCCAGGAGACAUCCAGCGUGUCCUGGGCCUCCUCCCAGUGGGACGUGCCCAGAACACCUCGCUAAGAACUGAAAUUUUCUUGUUUUUUCUUGAAAAUUUCUGAGAUUCAUUUAAAAAUUCCUGAGUUUUCUUGGCAGAAAUGUUCUUUUCUUUUUUCUACCUACUACAGCUGCUCCACUUCCUGCUUUUGGAGCGGUCUCAGGUCCGCUUGGCGUUCACAUAUGCAUUUGAAGCGCCCCAAAGUUCCCUACAACCGAAUCGAGACCGAGGGUUCAUACAUUUUCCCAAUUCAAGCACUUUUCAAGCAUUUUCAAGCGAUGCUAAAGAGGCUAGGAGAAAAUCCUUGAAGCACAACUACCACAGUCAGCAAACACAUCGGAGCCAUGAAUGCGGUUUGAAUACAUAUAUGAACACCAAGCGGACCAGACACAGGAAGUGGACUACAGCGCAGGGCAUUUUGGUGAGCAUCAGAAAAAAGAGCUCAUUCAUGCAGAAAAGCAGCUCUGGAGGAAACAAAAUAACAGAAGUAAAUCAGGAAAAGGUAAGUUGGUUCCUCACACUGAAUGCUGGUUUUGUUCAUUUAAGGUUCUGAAGAGAAGAUGUGAUACAUUGUGGUGAUUUUUUGUCAGAAAUUCAAAGCAAUCCUGAAGCUUAAAAAGAAAAAUGUAGCGAGCAACCAAAGCCGAAUUAAUGUGGCUGGGCUUUGCUGGGGUUGCUAGGCAACGGCACAGUGCCAAUUGAGUGUGUCUUAAAAAUUGUGAGGUUUUAAAUUGGCUCAUUUUCAAGGCACCAAAAGACAUGAACUUAUUGGCAAAAAACUGCUGGGUAGGUUUUUUAAGUGCAUUGUUUGUUUUUAGAAGCAACAGAAACACAAAUGGAAGAACAAAACAAGCAAAAUGUAAAUUUUGAGUCACAGGUCUCCUUUAAUAAAUUUAAGUGGACUUAGCGAAAGACUCCAUUUUUUCACUGGACUAUCUGAAAGCUGCCACUUUCCCUCCUAAAGCUUUAAAACGCCCACAGUGACAUUUAGCAGAAGGUUAAUUACAGGCCAGCUCAUUCUUCAGGGUUAAAAACGAGGCCUUUCAACAGCACAACACCGUAAGACUAAUCAGGAACCCUGCAGCCUAAUGAGCUGAUCCCAAACAGCAGAGGUCCCUGAACGCAUCGUCAGCCCGUCCUGAGGUGUGUCAGGUUAACGCCACAGCGGUCAUAGUGUGGGCGGGCGGCGCGUAGGAUGCUUCUGAGGACAUCAUCACAACAUCUACGUCUUGGUUUUUAAAGAAAUAAGAAGCUAAAAACUCUCCCAGCUCACCUAAUAAAUCUAUUCACCACUCAAGUAUACCAGUUAUGAAUAUUUCAAGGUAAACAAUCAAAGAAAAAAUUCUAUUUUCUAACCUAUUUAAAGGUAAAAUGCUAUUUCCUCUGGGUUGCUAAAAGUAAAAUGUUUUAAUUUAGUUGAAUUCUUGUUCAACAUUUAACAGAAAAUAAAACAUUUCUUCACUUCUUUCCAUUUGAUUUCUGUCAAACAUUUGUGAAAAUGUUAAUCUGUUAUGGUCUCAGAUGAAACUGUACUCAAAUGUAGAAAUAGAGCUCCAUCUGGUGGAUGAGAUCAGAACUGCACAGCUCCGUUUCUGUAAAUAAACCAACUUUUACAAGUAAA